rnacentral:rRNA from 1 species
GGUCAAGUUAUUAAGGGUUUACGGUGGAUGCCUUGGGGCCAAGAGCCGACGAAGGGCGUAGCAAGACUGCGAAAAUCCUCGGUCAGCUGUCUAGCAAGCUUAGCCGAGGGUACCCGAAUGGGGAAACCCGUCCUGGGUUAUACCAGGACAUUCCGUUAAGGAAAGGUAAGUAUGUGAACUGAAACAUCUAAGUAACAUGAGGAACAGAAAUCUAAAGAGAUUCCCUUAGUAGUGGCGAACGAACGGGGAAUAGCCCAAACCGCACGGGCUCAGUGGAAUGAGGUCCUAUGUCCGAGCGGGGUUGUAACACGUACCCCCCCUAACCUCGAAUGAGGGGAGGAAGUUACAAAAUCUUUUUCUAGCCAAACGCACCUGGAAAGGACGACCAUAGAAGGUGAUAGUCCUGUAGGCGAAAGAAAAAGAACUUCCGGAACGUUGUUGAGUACCACGGAACACGAGAAAUUUUGUGGGAAACUGGGGAGACCACUCUCCAAGGCUAAAUACUCUUGGCCACCGAUAGUGAACCAGUACUGUGAAGGAAAGGUGAAAAGUACCCCGGGAGGGGAGUGAAAUAGACCUGAAACCGUAAACUUACAAGCCGUAGAAGGCUCGAUGCGUCGGGCUGACUGCGUGCCUAUUGAAGAAUGAACCGGCGAGUUAAUUUAUACAGCACGGUUAAGGAAUUGGAAUUCCGGAGCCAAAGCGAAAGCGAGUCCUAAUAGGGCGUACAGUUGUUUGGAUUAGACCCGAAACCGAGUGAGCUACCCAUGGCCAGGUUGAAGCCCAGAUAGUCUCUGGGUGAAGGACCGAACCCGUGUAUGUUGCAAAAUGCUGGGAUGAGCUGUGGGUAGGGGUAAAAUGCCAAUCGAACUCGGAGAUAGCUGGUUCUCCCCGAAAUGUAUUUAGGUACAGCGUUUAGAUAGUCUUGUGGAGGUAGGGCACUGGAUAGGUACGGGGGCGUAAGCCUACCAAACUUAACCAAACCACGAAUGCCGCAAGAUGUUUCUAGGCAGUGAGACAGUGGGGGAUAAGCUCCAUUGUCGAGAGGGAAACAGCCCAGAUCGCAGGCUAAGGUCCCCAAGUGUGUGCUAAGUGUGAAACGAAGUGAGAUUGCUAAAACAGCUAGGAG